rnacentral:rRNA from 1 species
UACGUAGGGGGGCAAGCGUUGUCCGGAAUCAUUGGGCGUAAAGAGCGUGUAGGCGGCCAGACAGGUCCACUGUGAAAACUCGAGGCUCAACCUCGAGAGGUCGGUGGAAACCGUCUGGCUAGAGUCCGGAAGAGGAGAGUGGAAUUCCCGGUGUAGCGGUGAAAUGCGCAGAUAUCGGGAGGAACACCGAAGGCGAAGGCAGUGUCCUGGCGAGUGACUGACGCUGAGGUGCGAAAGCCAGGGGAGCGAACGGG